ACACGUAGGGGCCUGACGUUGUUCGGAAUCAUUGGGCGUAAAGGGCGCGCAGGCGGCCGUCCAAGUCCGGUGUUAAAUGGUCGGGCUCAACCCGAUCAUGCGCUGGAAACUGGGCGGCUUGAGUCCCGUAGGGGAUGCCGGAAUUCCAGGUGUAGGGGUGAAAUCUGUAGAUAUCUGGAAGAACACCGAUGGCGAAGGCAGGCACCUGGCCGGAGACUGACGCUGAGGCGCGAAGGCGCGGGGAGCGAACAGGUUUAGAUACCCUGGUAGUCCGCGCAGUAAACGAUGCGCACCAGGUGUCGGGCGGCAGCGCCCGGUACCGGAGCUAACGCGAUGAGUGCGCCGCCUGGGGAGUAUGCCCGCAAGGGUGAAACUUAAAGGAAUUGACGGGG
rnacentral:rRNA from 1 species